AUGUCCUGAUCCAACAUCGAGGUCGUAAACCCUCUUAUCGAUGGGGGCUCUCAAAGGGGAUUGCGCUGUUAUCCCUGGGGUAACUCGGUCCGUUGAUCGGCGUCACCGGAUCUUAUAGGUCAGAAGUUCUGUUAGUUAGAACUGUGGUUCUUGCUUCUAGGAGAAGUCCUCCCGGUCCGCAUGGGGGUUAUUUUUUUCCCCACGGUCGCCCCAACCAAAAACAUGCGGGCAGGGU
rnacentral:rRNA from 1 species